rnacentral:rRNA from 1 species
UGCGUAGGCGGGUCUUUAAGUCAGGGGUGAAAUCCUGGAGCUCAACCCCAGAACUGCCUUUGAUACUGAGGAUCUUGAGUUCGGGAGAGGUGAGUAGAACUGCGAGUGUAGAGGUGAAAUUCGUAGAUAUUCGCAAGAACACCAGUGGCGAAGGCGGCUCACUGGCCCGAUACUGACGCUGAGGCACGAAAGCGUGGGAGCAAACA